GUGGCUAUGGUGUAGCGGUAGCACAACAGGUUGUGGUCCUGUUAGCACGGGUUCGAUUCCCGUUAGCCACCCCA
rnacentral:tRNA from 1 species